CUGUUGCCAUGACCUUUGCUUUUGACCAGUUCACUUUUGCUUUGGCUGAACCAUUUCCACCUCUUGGUAACUAUUGUUUUGAUUGUGAUUUGUCUUUGGGAUUGUACUGGUGAGCCAUGUUUCAUCUCCUGUUAUAAUUCUUCGAAGAAAUGCUUCAGGAUCUUGAUCCCACUUGUUUAAAAUUUCCAUUGAAAGCUCUGCUUUUGUCUGUAGCUGAUCUGGGCCCAAUGGUUUUGGCACCCAUCGAGUGGAAGUUUGCUCACCUUUAAUUUUUUCAGUCAGAAUUGUGUAAGCUGGGCUGUUGUCUAUUCUUUCUGCUGAUAAUUGUCAGUCCUCUUUAAUUAGGGCAUGAACAAGAUGAACUUUUUUCCUCAUGAAUUGAUGUGGAUGGUCUGUCCCUGUGGGUUUCAUCUUUAACAUUGUCUCAUCACUUUUUAACAUUAGUUAUCCAUUUGUAAACUGCUGAUUUAUUUGGGGUACUAUCCUCGAAGGCUUUUUAUAAAGCAUCAGUGAUUUUCACCAUUCUUUCACCCAAGCUUCACCUAAAUUUGAUGUUUGUUCAUGCUUCAAUCUUAGCAGAAUUCAUAUUGCCUUGAUAGGGACACUUUUCAAACUGAUGUCUUAACCCUCUUAAUGCCUCAAACUAAAUCCUGUUCAGACAUGUUAUAACAAGUUAGUAUAAUUUUUUUUGGUGCAAGAGAAAUUGAAAUUCAUACAUAGUUUUUUCAUAGUAUGCAUUUUUCGUGAACUUUUUGAAGACCCCUCGUACAUGGUGAUUGAAGAGUUGCAGGAAGAGUUCACAUGGUGACAAUAAAACAGUGAAAACACCAACACUUAAAGGAUCGGCAGAAGGAAAAUUUAAAAAUUGAAUGAUAAUGGGGUAGAGAAGAACCGAGAGAGAAUUAAUGAAGGUCCUCUUCUAUAACCAAAUGGGAGCUGAGAUAGAUGUGAAUUUAGGGGAGGGAAAGAACCCCUCUCUGUUCUCAGUCCAGCAAACCAGGAUUCUCUGAGGAAAUUCCACACCAAGCCCUGACGGCAAUGAAGUUUUGCAGUCUUGUCUUUGGUUCAUUUCCUCCUUGAACACCUUGGGAAGAAGAGAGCUAUGGUUUGAAGAAGGAUUUUGUUCCUCUGAGACUCCUUGAAUAAUACUACCUAAUAGCCAACCUUGCUGUUUAGCUCUGUCUCAAUCCUCAACAAGAACAAAGAAGAAGGGAAGGACAGGGGAUAAGAGUCAAGUGCUGAGAGGCAAAUACAAGCCUUGGAAAUCCAUUCUGAGUCACAAAUCUCUCUCAAGAAGUGGGCCAAGGUUGCUGUUGCCACUAUCCCAUGCUGUCCAAGAACUGAGGCCAUUCUUUUGCUUUCUGUAUUUGGAAGAACAAGUGCCAAAGGCAAUUCAA
rnacentral:lncRNA from 1 species